CCUACGGGGGGCAGCAGUGAGGAAUAUUGGUCAAUGGGCGGAAGCCUGAACCAGCCAAGUAGCGUGCAGGAUGACGGCCCUACGGGUUGUAAACUGCUUUUAUACGGGAAUAACGCGCCUUACGUGUAGGGCUUUGCAUGUACCGUAUGAAUAAGGACCGGCUAAUUCCGUGCCAGCAGCCGCGGUAAUACGAAGGGUGCGAGCGUUGUUCGGAAUUACUGGGCGUAAAGGGAGUGUAGGCGGAUAUGUAAGAUAGCGGUGAAAUGCCGGGGCUCAACCCCGGAACUGCCAUUAUGACUAUGUAUCUAGAGUAAUGGAGAGGAUAGCGGAAUACCCAGUGUAGAGGUGAAAUUCGUAGAUAUUGGGUAGAACACCGGUGGCGAAGGCGGCUAUCUGGCCAUUUACUGACGCUGAGGCUCGAAAGCAUGGGGAUCAAACAGGAUUAGAUACCCCAGUAGUC
rnacentral:rRNA from 1 species